rnacentral:tRNA from 1 species
CAGAAGUGGCCGAGUGGCUAAAGGGGCGCCCCCCUGCAAAGGGGGAGUAUACGUUAAUAGCGUAUCGGGGGUUUUCGAAUCCCCCCCUUCUCC